UACGUAGGGUGCAAGCGUUAAUCGGAAUUACUGGGCGUAAAGCGUGCGCAGGCGGUUGUGCAAGACAGAUGUGAAAUCCCCGGGCUCAACCUGGGAACUGCAUUUGUGACUGCACGGCUAGAGUGUGUCAGAGGGGGGUAGAAUUCCACGCGUAGCAGUGAAAUGCGUAGAGAUGUGGAGGAACACCGAUGGCGAAGGCAGCCCCCUGGAGUAACACUGACGCUCAUGCACGAAAGACGUGGGGAGGCAAACAAGGAGUUAG
rnacentral:rRNA from 1 species